GACGAACGCUGGCGGCGUGCCUAACACAUGCAAGUCGAACGGAAGGGCCCGGCGCUUGUGGGGCUGAUGUAGGGCGAACGGGUGGGGAACACGUGAGUAACCCGACCUUUAAUUUUGGGUAACCUCAGGGAACCGGGGCUUAUACCGGGUAGGUGCUUCUGAUGCCUGGUUGGAGUAGGAAAGUUCCGGCUGUCGGGGAUUGACACGCGGGUCAUCAGCUCGUUGGUUGGGUAGUGGCUUACCGAGGCAUCGACGGGUAGCCGACCUGAGAGGCUGACCGGGCACAUUGGGACUGAGGGACGGACCAGUCUGCUACGGGACGCAGUGGGGGGGAACAUUACACAAUGGGCGGAAGCCUGAUGCAGCAACGCCGCGUUCGGGAUGACGGCCUUCGGGGUGUAAACCGCUUUCGCCGGAGACGAAGCGUGAGUGACGGUAAUGGGUAAAGAAGCACCGGCUAACUACGUG
rnacentral:rRNA from 1 species